AACGUAGGUACCGAGCGUUAUCCGGAUUUACUGGGCGUAAAGCGCGUUCAGGCGGUUUGGCAAGUCGGGCAUGAAAUCUCUCGGCUCAACCGGGAGAGGUUGUCCGAUACUUCCAGACUUGAGGGCAGUAGAGGGUGGUGGAAUUCCGGGUGUAGUGGUGAAAUGCGUAGAUAUCCGGAGGAACACCAGUGGCGAAAGCGGCCACCUGGACAGGUACUGACACUCAACUGCGAAAGCGUGGGGAGCAAACAGG
rnacentral:rRNA from 1 species